GAGAGAGGCUGGUAGCAGCGAAGAUUGCUAAUUUUUGUUUCCCUGGUUAGACUCCAGGGCUCACUCG
rnacentral:tRNA from 1 species